UACAGAGGUCUCAAGCGUUGUUCGGAUUCAUUGGGCGUAAAGGGUGCGUAGGCGGCGAGGUAAGUCAGAUGUGAAAUCCCGGAGCUUAACUCCGGAACUGCAUUUGAUACUGCUUUGCUUGAGGACUGGAGAGGAGAUCGGAAUUCACGGUGUAGCAGUGAAAUGCGUAGAUAUCGUGAGGAAGGCCAGUGGCGAAGGCGGAUCUCUGGACAGUUCCUUGACGCUGAGGCACGAAGGCCAGGGGAGCAAACGGGG
rnacentral:rRNA from 1 species